rnacentral:rRNA from 1 species
UACGUAGGGGGCAAGCGUUGUCCGGAUUUAUUGGGCGUAAAGAGCGUGUAGGCGGCUUUACAGGUCCGUUGUGAAAACUCGAGGCUCAACCUCGAGACGCCGGUGGAAACCGUAAAGCUAGAGUCCGGAAGAGGAGAGUGGAAUUCCUGGUGUAGCGGUGAAAUGCGUAGAGAUCGGGAGGAACAUCAGUUGCGAAGGCGGCUCUCUGGACCAGCACUGACACUGAGACGCGAAAGCGUGGGAGCAACAGG